UCCUACGGGGGGCAGCAGUAGGGAAUAUUGCUCAAUGGGGGAAACCCUGAUGCAGCGACGCCGCGUGGGCGAAGAAGUAUUUCGGUAUGUAAAGCCCUAUCAGCAGGGAAGAAGAAAUGACGGUACCUGAGUAAGAAGCACCGGCUAAAUACGUGCCAGCAGCCGCGGUAAUACGUAUGGUGCAAGCGUUAUCCGGAUUUACUGGGUGUAAAGGGAGCGCAGGCGGCACGGCAAGCCUGAUGUGAAAGCCCGGGGCCCAACCCCGGGACUGCCCUUGGAACUGCAUGGCUGGAGUGCGGGAGGGG
rnacentral:rRNA from 1 species